GGACUCUGAAUCCAGCGAUCCGAG
rnacentral:piRNA from 7 species